UACGAAGGGGGCUAGCGUUGCUCGGAAUCACUGGGCGUAAAGGCGCGUAGGCGGCCGGCCAAGUCGGGGGUGAAAGCCUGUGGCUCAACCACAGAAUGGCCCUCGAUACUGGCUGGCUCGAGACCGGAAGAGGUUGGUGGAAUUGCGAGUGUAGAGGUGAAAUUCGUAGAUAUUCGCAAGAACACCAGUGGCGAAGGCGGCUCACUGGCC
rnacentral:rRNA from 1 species